AUGUUGAAUGAACAGAGAGAAGUUAAAUGCUCCCUUUUAAAAGGAUAGAAAAAAAAAUCCAAGUAGUCUUUACAAUACAAAAGGUCAAGACAUUAUUACUUAGUCUGUGGCACUAACUAUGUUUUUAG